ACGCUCGACACCUACGGGAGGCAGCAGUGGGGGAUAUUGCACAAUGGGCGCAAGCCUGAUGCAGCGACGCCGCGUGAGGGAAGACGGUCUUCGGAUUGUAAACCUCUGUCUUCGGGGACGAUAAUGACGGUACCCGAGGAGGAAGCCACGGCUAACUACGUGCCACAGCCGCGGUAAUCUGAGCGGGCUGGCAAGGC
rnacentral:rRNA from 1 species